GACGAACGCUGGCGGCGUGCUUAACACAUGCAAGUCGAACGGAAAGGCCCUGCUUUUGUGGGGUGCUCGAGUGGCGAACGGGUGAGUAACACGUGAGUAACCUGCCCUUGACUUUGGGAUAACUUCAGGAAACUGGGGCUAAUACCGGAUAGGAGCUCCUGCUGCAUGGUGGGGGUUGGAAAGUUUCGGCGGUUGGGGAUGGACUCGCGGCUUAUCAGCUUGUUGGUGGGUUAGUGGCUUACCAAGGCUUUGACGGGUAGCCGGCCUGAGAGGGUGACCGGCCACAUUGGGACUGAGAUACGGCCCAGACUCCUACGGGAGGCAGCAGGGGGGAAUAUUGCAAAAUGGGCGGAAGCCUGAUGCAGCAACGCCGCGUGCGGGAUGACGGCCUUCGGGUUGUAAACCGCUUUCGCCUGUGACGAAGCGUGAGUGACGGUAAUGGGUAAAGAAGCACCGGCUAACUACGUG
rnacentral:rRNA from 1 species